rnacentral:lncRNA from 1 species
AUUCUUGGGAUGUCCUGUGCAGGGACAGGAGUUGGACUUGAUGAUCCUUGUGGAUCCCUUCCAACUUGGUAUAUUCUAUGAUUUUAAAGUUGUUUUUUUUUUUUCCCCUAAGAUGAAAAAGUCUGUCUCAGAAGCAAAGAGGAUUAAAAAUUACACAUACAUGUAAACACUGGCAACUGCAGAACUGUCCAGGUCUCUUAGGACAUAAAAAAGCCCUCUGCAGAUAAGCUGUGAUCUGAAUACAUCCUCUGCCCUUCCCCCACCCAACUGAGUAAGAUGACUCCACUGUUCUCUGCUAUGUCACUGCUGUGAGUUAUGCUACUGUUUAUUUUUUUUUAAUGAUUGCAGAUUUCUCCACAAUAAGUAUCGAAAGAGCAAAAGUAAGUUAAAUCAUUGCUAGGGAAGGGGCACCUGGAAUUGUCAGAUUUCUGCUCCACCAGUUUGCCCAGGUUUCACCAAAUCAGCAAAUAUGCUGAGUUAGAAGGGACCUACCCGGACUGAGUCCAGCUCCUGGCCCUGUGCAGGACAGCCCCGAGAAUCCCAUCACAUUUUGAACUCUCUCAGGCUUGGUGCUGUCAUCUCUUUACUGGGGAGCCUGUUCCAGCGCCCAGUCACUCUUGGGGUGGAAAACCUUUGCCUGGGUCCUAACUUGAACCUCCCCUGAUUCAGUUUCAUGCUGUUUUGGUCCUGUCAUUGAUUGUUGGAUGGGCUUUUCUCAUUUUUGUUAGGACAGGGACCAGAAGUAGACGUGCUGUCCACUUGAUACAUCUAAUAUGCCAUGGCUUCCUGAAUGGAGAGUCCCCUUCUGUCAGCAGCAGCUGUUAAAGGCCUGUCAUCCUUUUGCUUGAAAGGAGUAGAGAAGAAUGUCUCUGUGUGGAUGGGAUCUUAUUUCUCAGUAGCUGAAAGAAGUCUGUUUCCUGUGUUGGGGGAAGGGCAGUGAGAGCACAGCUGCUCCCGAAGUUCAAGAUGAAGCUGCUUCUUGAUGUUGGCAGAUCAGGAGGACAGAAGAAACUUGGCUGAACACCAGCAUAGGAGACCAGAUAGCUGAGGUAGUUAUAAAUCCAGAUUAUGAUCCAGGUAAAAUGAUGAAGUAACUGAUGUAGGGCUUGGUAAAUAAAGGACAGAGGAUAAUCA